AUGAGAGGGUUCGAGAGGAGAGACGUCCGGCAGUACAACCGGUCCGACGAGCCACGGAUGCGGUGGACGGAGGAGCUGCACCGGCAGUUCAUCGAGGCCGUCGACUGCCUCGGCGGCCAGGACGAGGCAACACCAAAGCGAAUUCUUCAGCUGAUGGGCACAAAGGGGGUCAGCAUAUCUCACAUCAAGAGCCAUCUUCAGAUGUAUAGGUCAAGCUCUAGCAACAACAACAACAACAAUAACCCACCCCACAUGUCAGUGAAUCGUUGCCAUGAUCAUUGCAUCGAUGGCAACAACACAAGAACAGCGUCUUCAGACAGGAUCAACGCUCCCUCU
rnacentral:rRNA from 1 species